GAAUCCUUAAGAGCUGCCUUGCGCUGUGACAUGUCUGAUUCCUUGCUGCAGUCCCUACAGCAUGAACAAGGUGGAUGCCCGCUGACCUGGCGCAAGGCGGCCCCACAAGGUUUUGGGGUCCAUGUCUGAAUGGAUUGCUGUAGCCUUCUCUUCUCACCCUUCGCCCAGUUCCCUGCAUCCUAAGACUCGAAGCCAGCACGGGACCUGGAAAAAUUACAUGGUGUGAACGGCAUGUCUGUGGAUGAGAAGCCUGGCUCCCCCAUGUACGUGUAUGAGUCCACAGUCCACUGCGCCAACAUCCUCCUGGGCCUCAAUGACCAGCGCAAAAAGGAUAUUCUCUGUGACGUGACCCUGAUCGUGGAAAGGAAGGAGUUCCGGGCCCACCGCGCCGUGCUGGCCGCGUGCAGUGAAUACUUCUGGCAGGCGCUGGUCGGACAGACGAAGGAUGACUUGGUGGUCAGCUUGCCCGA